UACGUAGGGUGCAAGCGUUAAUCGGAAUUACUGGGCGUAAAGCGUGUGCAGGCGGUUAUGCAAGUCAGAUGUGAAAUCCCCGGGCUCAACCUGGGAACUGCAUUUGUGACUGCAUAGCUAGAGUACGGUAGAGGGGGAUGGAAUUCCGCGUGUAGCAGUGAAAUGCGUAGAUAUGCGGAGGAACACCGAUGGCGAAGGCAAUCCCCUGGACCUGUACUGACGCUCAUGCACGAAAGCGUGGGGAGCAAACAGG
rnacentral:rRNA from 1 species